ensembl:lncRNA
CCAAAUUGUUGAAUAAAUAUUAUGAUAAGGUAGCAAAUUAUUAAAUAUAACUUAACUAGAUUAAAUACUGAAAGUGAUUUAGAAGUCUGUUUAACUUAAUUUUUUGUUUUAUUUGUGAAUCUUUAGCUAGGAUACUUUUUAAAAUCCUCUGUACCUGUGACAAACCAAUAUACUUGAUUUCUAUUCCUUGUGUUCACCAUGGAGGUACUUCUAAAACAUUUAUAAUAAUAGCAUUGUGGUUACAUCAAGUAAUUUGUCAACUCGGAAUGGAAAUAUUUGUAAAAGAAACCACAGUGUCUAAAAAUAGAGCCUGUUCGUUGGAGACGAACUCCUUUGAGCAAGAUGGUUUUUAACAGCUGGUGAAGUGUUGAUUUUUUAAGCCAUGUAGGUGUUGUGCACACAUAAGAUGUUAGUAAUUGUGUACCGGGAGCCACACAUUUCCUCUGUGUACACAGAACAAGAGCGCUUCCUCUUUCGAUCUCUGCCACCACUUAUCUCUCCAGGUCAUAUUAAAGAACAGAUGGAGUCAGUCUUGCUGCUGAUGAGAGGAAAUGUAGAGGUGACAAAUACAUAUCCAAUGACUUUCUGUUGCUGUUCUGGAGUGGAGACAAAUUCAGUGAGAAUAUAAAUGUGUGGAAAGAUUCAGAUGAUAAGCAACAAAGGGGGACCUGACAGUGCAUUCAACAAAUUUACAAAUUAAACAGGUGCAUGAUAAGUAAGUUGGAAUCACUUCAUUUACAUUCAUUUUUCGUGAAGUAAAUCCUAUAGCACCAGAAUGCUAGUACUACAUAGGCAGUAAGAUGAAAUAGAAACUGAAGAAUCAAAAAGAAGCUUUUGAUCACCUUGAUAAUCAAAGGUUAAUUGUAUAGAAAACUCAAGGAUUUGAGUGGAUUCCCUCCUGGGUUUCAGUUUUGUUUGAGACUUUUCUCCUUGUAAUCUUUCCAUAGCCUUGACCUAUGUCCAGGGGUCAUGUUUUCUCAGUAUUUGCAACACAUUUUGAAUAUUUAUGCCUUUCCCUUGCAGUAGGAAUGUUAAGAAAUGUGCAGGUUUUUUUUUCUGGACAGAGAUGACAUCUGAAGUUAGCUGUAUGUUGAAAGUAGUAAGUAUUGGGAUUUGGGUAACUGAGGACAGAAGGAAGAAGAUGGUGGGAAAGGAGAAAGUGAGUGUUGUAGAAAAAAAGGCCAAUUUUUAUUGAGACUAAAAUAAAUGUAUUUUUCUUAUCAUUUUCAUAGCAAGCACAUUUAGCUUCCCUUUCCAGGAUCCUGAAAGUCACAUGGAGGAGAGGAGAUAAUUCACAGUUAUACAUGCACACACAUGCGCAUUGCCUAGCAAACCUCCCUGCUGCAUGUGUUAAUAUAGUGCUAGUUUCUGUGUUUGUGAGUUGUCAUUAAUGGUCUAAAUGUAUGUAGGGUCUGGAGAAGUAUUUUGAUCCCUCUGUAUUUUUGUUAAACUUCUGCUUCUUUUUUGACCCUGUGAGAUAAGUGAUGCAAGUAGUUGAGGGAGUACUUUUUUUUCCCAACCCCACAAAAAGGUCUUCAGAUUUUUCAUUUGCAUGAGAAACUGUUAUUUUAGAAGGUAAUUGGAAAGAAAUUAUUUUUAAAAACAGUUCAACAAAGCAGACAGUCUGCACUUGUAAAUCUCAUUAGAAGUGCUUCAAGCUGCAUCAUGAUGGCCUGGAAUUCACUGAUAUGCAGCUGUAACUCCAGAUGAGUAGAAAAUGGUAUAAAGAUUAUAUUUUACUUGGCUUUACAUAUGAAUAUCAAAGAGUAGAACUUAGUUGUCUGG